rnacentral:rRNA from 1 species
GGCGACGAUCAGUAGGGGUUCUGAGAGGAAGGUCCCCCACAUUGGAACUGAGACACGGUCCAAACUCCUACGGGAGGCAGCAGUGAGGAAUAUUGGUCAAUGGGCGAGAGCCUGAACCAGCCAAGUAGCGUGCAGGAUGACGGCCCUAUGGGUUGUAAACUGCUUUUAUAGGGGAAUAAAGUGAGCCACGUGUGGUUUUUUGCAUGUACCCUAUGAAUAAGGACCGGCUAAUUCCGUGCCAGCAGCCGCGGUAAUACGGAAGGUCCGGGCGUUAUCCGGAUUUAUUGGGUUUAAAGGGAGCGUAGGCCGGAGAUUAAGCGUGUUGUGAAAUGUAGAUGCUCAACAUCUGCACUGCAGCGCGAACUGGUUUCCUUGAGUACGCAUAAAGUGGGCGGAAUUCGUGGUGUAGCGGUGAAAUGUCUUAGAUAUCACGAAGAACUCCGAUUGCGAAGGCAGCUCACUGGGGCGCAACUGACGCUGAAGCUCGAAAGCGCGGGUAUCGAACAGGAUUAGAUACCCGGUAGUCCGCGCGGUAAACGAUGGAUGCCCGCUGUUGGUCCAAGGUCAGCGGCCAAGCGAAAGCAUUAAGCAUCCCACCUGGGGAGUA